rnacentral:lncRNA from 1 species
CUAAGAAGUACCUCCAUUGUUAAGGCUACAAAAGGUAUAAGCCAGCAGCUGGUAUGUUUUGGGUCAAUUGGACCGCGUUAAGCAGAAAGGAACCAAGCCACAUCAACUAUUGCUAAAUUUAAAAGGGCAAUUUAAUUUCUUACAUGAAAACAAAUGUGUAGAUUUUUGUGCAAAUCUCAGUGAAUUUUCUGCAUGGUACAAAGCAAGUUCUUUAAAAUUUUCAAAGGUCUUUGCACAAAUAUUCUCUUGUAAAAAAUGAAAUUGCCCAGUUAAAUUUGGCAAUAGCUGAUGUGGCUUGGAUCCUUUCUGCUAAACGCAGUCCAUUAUACCUCCUUUUUACUGGGAAACUUGUCAGUCAUUAAUAAAUCAUUAGAUAUAAUAAAACACAUGAGGUAUCAUAAUAUUGAAAUACUGAUCAUCCACUGUAAAUAAUCUGAUGCACUUAAAACAAAGCUUGCAUAGCUGCUGAGUGAUCUUUACCUGUGCGCGGUUUGUUCCAAACGGUCCCAAACUCAAUUUUUUGCAACUGUAGCACCUACUUGCUUGUGAAUUUUUUUUUUUUUCUUCUUUGCUAUUUUUCGCCAAAUCAAUCUUAUUUUAGUUCACUGCUUGGCUUGUUCUGAAAAUACUUUCUUUUUUUAUUUGGGUUUUCCUGCACGGUUGAAAGAAAUUUCCUUGGGCUGGUUCGAAUGGGUCAUAUACUGAGUGAUUUUUGGUUUUAUUUUGUUUUAUGCAUGCAUUCUAAACUGUUCCUCUUUUCACUAUUGAUUUCCCUGCCCAGUCUAAUUAUUUUCACAUUUUCCUCUUCUUAGGAUUCAAACAUUGCCUCUUAUGACAACAAUUUUGAUAGAACGUUUGACGAAUGUUGGAAUGAGAAUUUAGAACAAGAGGAUAUGGAAAUCUCAAAUAUGGAAGUAGUGCUAGAGGAUAAUGUAGACCAACUUUUUAGAAAGCCUUUAAAUACAAUCCCACAGCCAGCAAGUGAAAAUCAACAAAGCUGCAGUCAGCCACCUCCCGCCAAAAAAUUGGCAACCACUGCGAAUCAUCCCUCAUCCGUCAAGCCACCAAUCUUUUUAGUUAAAGACCUUGAUCUAAAAAAAGUUCUUGAAGAGAGCGACGAGGGCCAAGCAAUCCUGAGCCAUUACGAAAUGCAAGGCAAACUGGCACAGAAAUUUUCCACGCUCCUCUGCCAAAUUAUAAUGAGGCAUUGUUUCCAAGGAAAUCCACAUACUCAACUGUUUAAGGCACAAUUUGAAGAUAUCACAUCUUUAAUUGUGAGUUUAUUCCCUAACGAAUCUGCAGACUUAUAUUAUAUUCCCCCUGAACACAUCGGCGGAAAAAAAUAUUGUGCGACUGGAAGACUUGUUGAUAAAUAUAAUGCUCGAAAACAAAUGUUUCGAGAAACGGGGCUCUUACUGAACUCAAAGAAGAAAGGCUCUGUCCCAUCCACAGACCUGCUUGUUCCAGGUGAUGUAACUGUGAAAAUCAAACAGUGGCUGAAAGAUAAUAUCACUGCAGACCCGGCUGUCUAUCUGGAGCACUGGGAAAAUAUUUACAAUUUUAGGCGAACAGAGCUUAUGCAAAGCAAAAUUUCGAUUGAAGUUUACUUGAAGCAGUACCCAGGGUUGGCAGAUUCCAAACUUGGAGUUUUAUUGAUCCGGACCGCAUCAAAGCGACAGCACUGUUCAUACUUCCUUAUUUGUUUCAAAGAGUUGGAAAUGUGAACAGGAAUAAUAAAGAAAACACCUGGGUCCCAUCGCAGCAAGAAGCAGCUUAUGGCUUUAUUCUCCCCAUCAGUAGUCCUGGGACUUUUUCAUCGUCUCUACUAGAAAGAGUAGAUUUUUAUGCAUCCAAAAAAUUGACAUUCCAACCCGUCACAACCGUUAUCGGUUCUCUUGCAGAACCCGUUUCAGAUUGCCGUGUUGUUAUCAACCAGAUUGAGUAUCCCUUUGGAAAGAACCUUGAUGCUGCUUUCGAUUUUUGCUUCAAGUCAUUUUUUGCACUUAAUGCUGAUUUUCCUAAGGAAUCGCAGCAGCCCUACGUAUUUUUUCAAAAUUUUAUUUAUGGUAUUGACAAAAAUAGGUGCAGACUCACAAAAAGUUUAAUUAAUCUCAUUAAAGAAUUAGAGUGAACUUUUAAUUUUACCUUUUUGACAUUGUUAAAAAACAAUUUCUUAUUAUCAAGUAAUGUCUACAUUCAUUUUAUUUUUUCUAAAAAAUUCCAAUUGGCAUCGAAGCAAUGUGCUCUUUGUUCCCUCUUAAAAAUUAGUAUGGCAUAUAUCAUUUAGAAAAAAAGCACUCAAAAAUGUUCAUUAUUUUUACCACUGGAUUCUCAUAAGUUAGUAUCUGCGAUAAAACUGUUUAGUCUCAAUCACCAUUUUCCUAUGUCUUUAUAAGUAUUAUUUACUUACCUGCUUUA